rnacentral:lncRNA from 1 species
AAACAGGGAGAAGAGGGAAAUGAAUGCCACGCAGCUGCUAAUUUCCCUGCUAUUGGCAGAGUGGCAGAGGAUGAAGCCAUCAUCCUAAUUAAUUGCAAUUGUUCUUGGACAAAGCGGAAGGGAAGGGGGGCAGCCUCAGCUCACUGGAGUGGGAAGCAAGAGCCUCUGGAUGGAAACGCGGGUGCUAAAGGAGCUGCAGCUGCGGAUCCUCGGGCUCAAGUGCCGUCGACCCCAGGGAAGGGGGUGAGAGACGGGAAGGAACCGGCAUCUCUCUCGGUGGCUGCGCGAUGCCCUGCGCAUUGUUCCCAGAUCCGGCCAGGGCCGCAGGAUAUCCUGGAGAGGCUGCCGGACACCAGGGGUUGCUUCCUAUUAGGAUCCUCUGGCAGCCAGGGAAAGGAGGCUCCCUGGUGCUGCCCUGUUCCUGAGCUAAAACAUCUCAGACUUCAUGGACUUGCUGGUGCACCGCUUUUUUCCCUGCAAAGAUUCUAAUUUUCUAGAACUUUCUACUGUGUAGCAUUGACGGUUGCAGAGCUGAUGGUCUCAUCUUUUCGAGGGACAACAAGAUGAAGGGAGUUUAAAACAUGCAGCCAAGAUAACAGGAUUGCUGCUAGAGCUGCAAAAUGCCACCUGGAUCUCUCUCUCUGCAAAGUCUGCUGAGGGAUUGCAGUAUUUCCCAGAUUAAGCCAUUUUAAAGAAUUCGGCAGCACAGGGGAUGCUAGCAACAGUCAGUGCUGAGAUCCGGCUCACCAUCACCCAUCUCUGCCAGCAAAGGCUGAAAUUUCAGGUUUAAUUCAGAGCAAAGACAUUCAUUCAGGUCCCCAUGGGGUCAUUGACUCCAGGAAGGCACAGGAAGCCUCAGCUCCAGGAGAUGGGCAGCAGGCAGAGAAAGAGGAUGGACAUGCAAGCGGGAAGCUGAGAGGGUUGAUUUUGGGUAGAAGAGCCCUGAUAGAGCAGAGCAGACCUCACCUCCACUCCACGUCUCUGCCUUUGCACCACCAGAGAUAUGAAGGAUGCUCUUUGCUAUGAAAUCAGAGCGACAGCGCACUAAGCCGAGCUCCUGGGCUGCGGCUGCUGCAUUAAACAUGAGCAGACAAAUCCCCACGAGCAACCCACCGGCUGCUGCUCAUCCUGCAGCAGCUAUUAACAGUUUAGGGGCCAAAUUCAAACCCUUCAAACCAGAGGAUUGCCCACCCUGAGAGCUCGGAGGCAGAGCCAUGGGCUACAUGAGCCACGGGCUACAUGAGCCACUGUCUUUUAUAUUUCUGUGGCAUUCAGGGCUCAAUUUCUUUGCUCACAGUAAAAGCCACUGUAUUCGAGAGGUUCCUUGUUGGAGCUGAGCCCCAUGGGGUGGAUGCUCAGAGAGGAAUCUGGCAUCUGGCUGAGAUCCAGGGACUUUAAAGAAGAUUUUAAUCUAAAACUCUCCGUAAUCCUAUGAUAAACAUAACCUGAGCUUGUUCUCUGAGUCACCCUUUUGCUACCAAACCAACCCAAACUUCAGUAAUGACCCGUCAGCCCCCUAGACCAGCUCAGUGCUGCAAAAACAACAGGAUGUUUGUACAUAUGCAGAGCUGCAAUUUAAUCCUGCCUGGCUGGGGGAAGAGUGCAAGAGGCUGGCUUCCCUCAGGAAAAUAUCAACCAGCUCCUUCUUCCUUUGGCAUCCCUUUUCUGCAUUAGAAGUUGGCCAAGUUCAGCUUCUGGGGAGGACGGUGCUGGGGAGGGCCCCAAGUCCAGGUCCCAGUUGGAGACCUGAUACACUGACAUCCUCCAGCCCCUUCUACCCACCUUCAGCCCACCAUGGUCUUCCUCCGAACCAGAUCUGAGCUUUCCUACAUCGCAGCUUUGUCCCAGAAUUCAUUGUCCAUGGGUACCCUUUGCCAUUAGCAGAGUGUGGGACCCAGAUCCCUCUUAUCUACACCAACUCUUUCUCACCUUCUACUGCCACAGCCACCUUGCUUAACGUCUCCAGUCCUUCUCCAGCCCCAGUACCGCACCAGACCCUGCCUUUUCCCUGUGCCAGGCACCUGCCUGCUCAGACACUGGCUCAGCCCUGCCAAGGGAUUAGGAUUACACACACUGUCAGGCAAAAACAUGCCUGGGGAAGAAAGCUCUUAGUGUUGUAUUAUUUUUUUCCUAAGUAGGUAAAUACCCCUGUUGAAUGAAAUAUGAAUAUCCAUCUUCAGGGUCAGGAUGGGAUUUGGGGCUGUAAAUCUCGCUCCAGGCCAGUUUACGCCAUCAUGUUUAACCUGCAGUGACCCAGGCUGGAGCAUGAGAUCUGUGUCUCAGGUGUGCGUGAUGCUGGUAGGCACAUCCAUCCCAUCCAUCCUGUUCAUCUCAUCCCAUCCACCCCAUCCAUCCUGUCCAUUCCAAAAAGCAAAGGGACUGAAGGGACAAACCUGCUGUGAAAUCCAGCUGCUGAACAUCAACAUACCAGGUCGGCAGCCAGCCCAGGAAUGGUCUGGGCUACUGUGGAGGGUAAUUCAUGGAAACAUUUCCUAUCAGGUUGAUAAGAAGGUCAGUAUCCACUUCAAGUGCCAUUUUAUUCAUGGGGUAUUUAAAUGUGCUGAUUUUUCAGCAUCCCAAAGGGAAAACCAACAAAGCAGCCACAUAGAAUAAAUACUCUAGUGAAACAAUGAAUGUGCUGAUGUAGGUGAAGACCAAGGAACAGCAAGAACUUGGCUCUGGACUUUGCAGUGGCCACAGGACCAUCUCAUGUAAUCCAUCCUGGGCCUACCAGGCAUGAAAAGCAACCGAGCAUGCAAACGACGACCAUGCAACUUCACAGUAGUAUUUUCCCAAAUGGAAAUGUCUACAACUUGUGCAGGGGAAGCUGUGAAAGGCAUCCAAAGGCUCUCAGGCACAGCAAAUGGAUGGGGAGCACACUGGGAAGGGCAUAACACUUUUUAAGGUCCUAAGCCUUAGGCACAUUGAUUUUGCUGCCAGGGCUGGAGGAGAGGGACACAAUCAGAGCAAUGAUGGCUCUGGGCAGAGCCCAGGGGAUGAUGGAGCCAGAGGUGCCACUACCAGGUUCACAAGGUGGUUUGGGUCAGGGAGAAGCAACACAUCACUGGUCACAAUUUCUCAGAAUCUCUUCCUUAAUUUCUUUUCUGUGACUGUGCAUUGGCAUCUCGGCUUGAACACUGGUUAAUUUUUCUAUUUACUCGCUGAUCUUGUGGUAUUUCUUCUUUGGUGUUUUUUUUCUUUUUUUUUUUUUUUUUUUUUGUCCUUUAAGCUUGACUGCAAAACCACAAAAGCUGGAAAAAACAUUCAGAAACGCAGAUGAAUAAGAUAAGAUCAUCUUACAAUUCACGGAGUUCCAGGAGCAAAGGCUUAUGGAAGAAAAUCCCAUGAGGAUCACAAUUCCCACCACUAAGAACUCGGACCCUGCCGCAGGAUCUCUAUGGGCAGAGAAGGAGACCCUGGCACAUCAGCCCAACUGGUUUUGUGGGUCUCCCCUAGACCCAGCAUAAAAAAAAAGUCACGUAAAUCCCAGCAGAGGUGGUAGUGGUGAGAAGUAUUUUCAUGUCAUGAACAAUGCUCUUCAGAUAAUUGCUUUUCUUUAUUUGAUGCCAUUUAAUGAUGAUAAGCCAGAGUAAAAAUUCAUUUCAGGGUGAGCCAGUG